GCCCCUUUUGUAUUGUACUACU
rnacentral:miRNA from 1 species